UACGAAGGGGGCUAGCGUUGCUCGGAAUCACUGGGCGUAAAGCGCACGUAGGGCGGCUUUCUAAGUCAGGGGUGAAAUCCUGGAGCUCAACUCCAGAACUGCCUUUGAUACUGGAGAGCUUGAGUCCGGGAAGAGGAGAGUGGAAUUCCUGGUGUAAGCGGUGAAAAUGCGCAGAGUAUCAGGAAGAACACCCCGGUGGCGAAGGCGGCUCUCGUGGGACGGUACUGACGCGAGACGCGAAAGCGUGGGGAGCGAAGCAGG
rnacentral:rRNA from 1 species